UGGGGAAUAUUGCACAAUGGGGGAAACCCUGAUGCAGCAACGCCGCGUGAGUGAUGACGGCCUUCGGUUGUAAAGCUCUGUCUUCAGGGACGAUAAUGACGGUACCUGAGGAGGAAGCCACGGCUAACUACGUGCCAGCAGCCGCGGUAAUACGUAGGUGGCGAGCGUUGUCCGGAUUUACUGGGCGUAAAGGGAGCGUAGGCGGACCUUUAAGUGAGAUGUGAAAUACCCGGGCUCAACUUGGGUGCUGCAUUUCAAACUGGAAGUCUAGAGUGCAGGAGAGGAGAAUGGAAUUCCUAGUGUAGCGGUGAAAUGACGUAGAGAUUAGGAAGAACACCAGUGGCGAAGGCGAUUCUCUGGACUGUAACUGACGCUGA
rnacentral:rRNA from 1 species